rnacentral:misc_RNA from 1 species
CACCAAAAGCAAACCCUCUCCAAACGUAAUGCUGGCGAGGAAUUACCCAAAGAAAUGGCUGUAGAUGAUGAAGAAAUUGAACUAGAGGAGGUGCUACAAAAAAGGAAAACAAUUUUUGAAGGAGCUAAGGUUUCACAAGUAUUGAUCCAAUGGAAAGGUAGACCCAUAGAUGAAGCAACUUGGAUGGAUGAGGUGGAUUUGCACAAUCAAUUGCCUCAAUACAACCUCUU